GGUUCCGUGGUGUAGUGGUUAUCACAUCUGUUUCACACACAGACUGUCGCGAGUUCGAUCCUCGUCGGAACCU
rfam:Octopus bimaculoides Scaffold95779_contig_24, whole genome shotgun sequence.